rnacentral:rRNA from 1 species
AAAUACAUUGCGUGGAAAAGCCCUGGCGCACCCCACAACCCUUUGUAGAACUCAUACCUUACCGUUGCCUCGGCGCAGGCCGGCCCCCCCCCGGGGGGCCCCUCGGAGACGAGGAGCAGGCCCGCCGGCGGCCAAGUUAACUCUUGUUUUUACACUGAAACUCUGAGAAACAAAACACAAAUGAAUCAAAACUUUCAACAACGGAUCUCUUGGUUCUGGCAUCGAUGAAGAACGCAGCGAAAUGCGAUAAGUAAUGUGAAUUGCAGAAUUCAGUGAAUCAUCGAAUCUUUGAACGCACAUUGCGCCCUCUGGUAUUCCGGAGGGCAUGCCUGUUCGAGCGUCAUUUCAACCCUCAAGCCUGGCUUGGUGAUGGGGCACUGCUCCCCCCCCGGGGAGCAGGCCCUGAAAUCCAGUGGCGAGCUCGCCAGGACCCCGAGCGCAGUAGUUAAACCCUCGCUCCGGGAGGCCCUGGCGGUGCCCUGCCGUUAAACCCCCAACUUCUGAAAGUUUGACCUCGGAUCAGGUAGGAAUACCCGCUGAACUUAAGCAUAUCAAUAAGCGGAGGAAA